rnacentral:rRNA from 1 species
UACGUAGGGUGCAAGCGUUAAUCGGAAUCACUGGGCGUAAAGGGUGCGUAGGCGGGUUUUAAGUCAGAGGUGAAAUCCUGGAGCUCAACUCCAGAACUGCCUUUGAUACUGAAAGUCUUGAGUAUGGGAGAGGUGAGUGGAACUGCGAGUGUAGAGGUGAAAUUCGUAGAGUAUUCGCAAGAACACCAGUGGCGAAGGCGGACUCACUGGCCCAUUACUGACGCUGAGGCAC